rnacentral:lncRNA from 1 species
GUCUGUGAUGCCCUUCAUUGUAAACAUUUCUUGUGAGCCGCAUCCUACUAAUCUUGUGGCAUUGGUUUGCUCGGGAAUGACGUUCACCCACAGACCUGAAAAGUCCUUACAGAGUUGGGAAGCUGCGUGUCAUCAUUUUUUCAGUUGGCAAAUCUGCCCACUUUGAACUGACAUAAUUGUAGCCUAAAAGUUCAGAGAGAGAGUAGUUCAGGAAAAAGACUAUUCCUUCUUCUUAGAGGGAACAGCAGCCCUGAAAACUAUGUGGACAUCAUACCAGCUUCUUACAACAAAAGGUGCACUUGGUCUAAAUUAUCUGGCAGCUCUAGAUAACGUUCUCAUCAAGUACCUGUUUGUUGUAGUUAUGCAUAUUUAUUCCUUGGCUUAGCCACUGCAGUUACCAAAGAGUAUGUCGCUUAUUGUCUAAGAGGUUGGACUCCUGAAAGCCUGGACAGUGUCAUCAUCUUCACCUGAAGAGUGGAAAAAUUCAAGCAAAGAGUUUCUCAGGAAAUGACCAAGUAAAACAUCUGGAGUAAGUCAGCAGGAUUCACAGUGACUCCCCCCAACCAGCUGGUGGUGUUUCUCUCUGAAAGCAGCGCUUGGUACCAGUGUGAACUCUCUUCCUUCAGAAGUCUCAUCAGGUGGACGUAAUACGAGGGUCUGGUCCCCCAUACCUUGAGGACUCCGCUGCCAUCUGACAAUUACAGACAAUCCAAUUGUCCUCAUCCUUGAGGACUCUGCUGCCAUCUGACAAUUAGAGACAGUCCAAAACAUGCCACACUUUGAUCCUAAACACAUUCCUGGCUUUGGUCACUUUUGAAAAGUUCCUGAGUUAUGAGAAAUCAAUAAUAAGAGUGUUCAAAACCUGAACACUCUUU